GACGACCGGCCGAACACGUAUGUGUCCGGCCCACAAGUGGAGGCUCCGAACUCCCACCUGAUCGCCCCUCGGGGCGGCGGGUCACCGGUCAGGCGGCCACCACCGUUCCGUACGGACGGUGGAGUCGCCCGAUAUUACGCCCCGCGGUUGACCUGCGGCGGUGUUCCGGCAUUCCAGGAGCCCCGCCUGUGUCCCGUCCGGGGCAUUUUUC
rnacentral:ncRNA from 1 species